GCUCCGGUAGUGUAGCUCGGCCAAUCAUUCCGGCCUCGAGCCGAAGACCCGGGUUCAAAUCCCGGCCGGAGCA
rnacentral:tRNA from 1 species